CAGCCGCCGCGGUAAUACGUAGGUGGCAAGCGUUGUCCGGAAUUAUUGGGCGUAAAGGGCUCGCAGGCGGUUUCUAAGUCUGAUGUGAAAGCCCCCGGCUCAACCGGGGAGGGUCAUUGGAAACUGGGAAACUUGAGUGCAGAAGAGGAGAGUGGAAUUCCACGUGUAGCGGUGAAAUGCGUAGAGAUGUGGAGGAACACCAGUGGCGAAGGCGACUCUCUGGUCUGUAACUGACGCUGAGGAGCGAAAGCGUGGGGAGCGAACAGGAUUAGAGACCCCCGUAGUCCCUGUCUCUUAUACA
rnacentral:rRNA from 1 species